AUGAACGCUGGCGGCGUGCCUAAUACAUGCAAGUCGAGCGAACAGACGAGGAGCUUGCUCCUCUGACGUUAGCGGCGGACGGGUGAGUAACACGUGGAUAACCUACCUAUAAGACUGGGAUAACUUCGGGAAACCGGAGCUAAUACCGGAUAAUAUAUUGAACCGCAUGGUUCAAUAGUGAAAGACGGUUUUGCUGUCACUUAUAGAUGGAUCCGCGCCGCAUUAGCUAGUUGGUAAGGUAACGGCUUACCAAGGCAACGAUGCGUAGCCGACCUGAGAGGGUGAUCGGCCACACUGGAACUGAGACACGGUCCAGACUCCUACGGGAGGCAGCAGUAGGGAAUCUUCCGCAAUGGGCGAAAGCUUGACGGAGCAACGCCGCGUGAGUGAUGAAGGUCUUCGGAUCGUAAAACUCUGUUAUUAGGGAAGAACAAAUGUGUAAGUAGCUAUGCACGUCUUGACGGUACCUAAUCAGAAAGCCACGGCUAACUACGUG
rnacentral:rRNA from 1 species